GAGGGUAGAGCUCAGUGGUAGAGUGCAUCCCUGGCAUGCAUGAGGUCCUGGGUUCAAUCCCCGGUACCUCCG
rnacentral:tRNA from 1 species